rnacentral:lncRNA from 1 species
CCCCUUGGCAACCACAAGCCUGUUCUCUAUGUCUAUGAGUCUCUUUAAGUUCUGUAGACAGGUUCAUUUGUGCCAUAGUUUAGAUUCCAUAAGAAAGUGAUACUAUGUGGUAUUUGUCUUUCUAACCUACUUCACUUAGUGUAAGAAUUUCUAGUUGCAUCUAUGUGGCUGCAAAUGGUAUUAUCUCAUUCAUUUCUAUGGCUGAGUAGUAUUCCAUUGUAUAUAUAUAUACACUGCAUCUUAAUCCAUUCCUCUGUCCAUGGACAUUUAGGUUGUUUCCAUGUCUUGGCUAUUGUGAAUAGUGCUGCAAUGAGCAUAGGGAUGCAUAUAUCUUUUUCAAGGAAAGUUUUGUCCAUAUAUAUGCCCGAGAGUGGGAUUGCUGGAUAAUAUGGUAGUUCUAUGUUUAGUUUUCUGAGGAACCUCCAUAUUAUUUUCCAUAGUGGUUAUACCAGUUUACAUUCCUACCAACAGUGUAGGAGGGUUCCAUUUUCUCCACCCCCUCUCUGGCAUUUGUUAUUUGUAUACUUAUUAAUAAUGGCCAUUCUGACCAGUGUGAAGUGCCUAAUUGUAGUUUUGAUUUGCAUUUCUUUAAUAAUUUAGCAGUAUUGAGCAUUUUUUCAUACGGCUACUGGCCAUCUGAAUGUCUUUGGAGAAAUGUCUAUUUAGGUCUUCUGUUCAUUUUUCAAUUGUUUUUUUUUUUUUUUUUUGGUUUUUUUUUGCUGUUGUUGUGUUGUAUGAGUUGUUUGUAUAGUUUGGAGAUUAAGCCCUUGUCAUUUGCAUGUUUUUUUUUUUUUUUUUUCCCCACUGUACAGCAAGGGGGUCAGGUUCAUUUGCAUGUUUUGCAAAGAUUUUCUCCCAUUCUCUGGGUUGUCUUUUUGGUUUUUCAAUGGUUUCUUUUGCUGUGCAAAAGCUUUGGGUUUAAUUAGGCCCUAUUAAUAACCUAUUUCUUAUAAUAGCAAAAAAAAUUAUAUUUAAAUAUGCAUAGGAAUGGAAUCUGUAUUGACUUCAUUUUAAGGUAAAUAAAACUGACUUUAAAUCAUUUGAAAUAUUCAUUUAAAGCACAAGUGCUAUAUUAACAAUAGUAAUUCAUUAAUGAUUUGAAAGUUUGCUCAUCAAAGGGGAAAAUCUUUUGAAAGCGAUUUUAGAAUGCUGAAAUUUAGAAAUAUCAAAAAUGUGACCAAAUAUGUUUCUUGCGAAAAUAAUCCUCUAUUAUACCAAGUACUAGAAGAAGUUCUAUAAUUUGACACAGCUUAAGGUGUUACUUGCCCUUCCCAGCUUAUCAAAUGUAGUAAUUUUUUUAGCUAAUUAAAGGUUGUUUUAUAAAGCUGACUUCCCAUAUAGUGUGCUAUGAAUUUGACCUUACCUAUUAAAAACUAAAAAGUGCUUAAAAUAACAUUUCUUUAAUGAAGUCAUCCCGAAAUUACAACUUGACCACUAAAUGUCUUACAAGAUUUUAUAAUAAGCCAUUUUGCCCAAUGGGUGAAAUACUUCCUACAUACUCUAGCCGUAAUGAAUUCAUACCCAUACUCUCACUUUUAGAUGUGCCAUUCCACUUAACCAAUGAUCAUCUGCUGUUUUACAUCAGCCAUUUCUAUGUGUCUCCAUUCUUAGGAAUAGUUUUGGGGGAGUGGGGAAGAAACCCUGAGCCAGGUAUCCCCAGUUCAGGUCGGGCCUCCUUGCAAUAGAACUUUUAUUUCCUAAACAGUUUCAAAUGAGAUGAUUUAUAAGUACUAGCUGUCCUCUUACAGAGGUUGUUAAAGUAGAACAAAGGCAAUAGUUCAAAUAAUGUUUUAAUGCUCCAACAGGCCCAGAGGAAUAAGGUCCAGAUAAACAAGGACAACCUGGCACCUGAGAAGUGGAUCCACAUAAAUUCUCACUGGACUAUCCCAUAAUAUUCCGACUAUGUAGUCAGCCCGUAACUCACUGAUCACUCAACAGCCAGACUCUCCCUCAAUCUCCCUGAUUCUCAAAUUUUUUCAUUUCGAAAGUUGCAGUAAUAGUAAUAAUGAUAUUAAUGAUGAAGAGGAGGAGAAGAAAAGUAUCACUGUAAUAGUGAUGACUCUGAAAAACCACCCCCAUAAACGGCUAUAAGGAUUCAUCUGUCAAUCACCUGAUCCUCUGCAUGGAACCAGUCCAUUGGUUCUCUUUCAAAUGGUACUGACUAGAUGCUGUUUUAGCGUCAGAAAUUUUGUCCCAGGGACAUAGAGGUGAAAAAAAGCUCUUGAGAAUGCAUGGUUUUCCAAGAGAGUAGAAAAGUUAAUGUAUUUUUCAGAGACCCAGUCAGUAAAGGCGAAUUGUGGCACCACCACCCUGGUCCCCAGGUGGUGGUGCCACAAAAGUAGAACAUGUUUCACUCUGCUUGUGUAGUGAAGGCAUCUUCACUGAAUUAAAGAGCUUGUUAUCCUUCACCCUAAUCUUCUCUACCAAAGCGAACAAGAACUAUUUAAAGAGGCCUCUGAGAUCCACCUGCAAUUUAGUUCCUCCUGGCACAGAGCAGAAUCUCUUCUGCUGAGCAAUUGCGCUUUGAGUUCCAAGGUUUAAGAGGGGUUGUGUGGGAAGGCAGCAGCACUAACUCGGAACAUCUCAUAGCCAUGAGGUCUAUAAUCCUAACCUCCUCCUGGAGCUAAGUAUACUUUUAGAAAUGUAAAAAUUCAGUAACUAAAGCAGAACCAAUGACUUCAAGCCCCAGGGCUUCUACCUAUGUUCAGUGUAAAUUGAAAAGAGAUAGAUUCUGAACCCCAGGAAGCUAAUUGGGAGAAAUCCUAAAUGUGGUAAUUGGCACCUUUUCCUUUUCCAGUGUCUCAGGCAGUCGGUGAGAGGGUUACCUCUAGGGUGCUAAUUGAUUAGCAUUGUUAGAGGAAAGGCAGUUAACACACCCUGGGGAUCUGAACUCUCCCAUUUUCAAAACUCCAAUUUAACUAGUAGCCCAAGGGUUCCAACCAACCAGAGAAAAGGGACUUUCAUGUAGUGCCAUUGAGGGACACUUAUGGGUCAACACAAUUGUAAAUAGCUCCACUAUAUAAAAUUAAAACUCAUUAUUUGGUUUUGAUUUGCUAGCUGAAAAAAAGUAAUGUAUGAUUAAAGUAUCUUUAGAGUUAGAAAACAACCUUUUUAAAAAGAUUGUAUUGUGGUAUAGUUGAUUGGCAAUGUUGUAUUGGCUUCAGGUUUACAGCAGAGUGAAUCAGUUACACACAUACAUAUGUCUGUUCUUUUUCCCCAUAUGGGCUAUUACAAAACAUUGAGUAGACCUUCCUGUGCUAUAGAGUAGAUCCCAGAAAACAAAUUUUUAAUUAAAGUUGUACUCUACUCAUCUAAAUUGAUUUCCCUUUAACUUAGAGUUCUUCAACAAAAACCCUCUUCCUGUAAAUUAUUACAGAUUUCAGAUAUGUGUCCAGUCUGUUUGGGGCCAGAUUACACAAACUUUACUUAGAAAAGAGAUGUCAACAUUGAACAAAAAUAAUUAUGCAGAAGUAGGGUUCUGAAUAGGAACCUCACUAGAUCAAACGUCUUAAUUGGGGACCAGAGUAGGAAAGCAGAACUGUUGAAUCCAAAAAGAAAUAGAGAAAUCAGAGGGCAAGAUUCCAUGGUCCACAGGGAAGCCCGUUUGAAUGGAAUCUUACUCUGAAUAGCCAUACUCCGAUACACAACCAUUCCACAUCUCAAACAUCUUAUUUGAAGGCAAGUAUUUAUUAAGGUCUCAUCAUUCUUCCUUUUAUGGAUAAAGAACAAGGCUCAGAGAGUUCAAGUGACUUGGCCGUCGUCACACACUCUGCAGCUGGCAAACUUGGGCCUGAUUCCUAGCUCUAUGAUCUUUCUUCUAUACCACAUUGCCCCUACAUUAGAGCUGAAAAGAUUGUUCUGGAAAUGUCUAUGGAUGAAGUCUAGGGGACCCUUACUGAAAUUGAAUCAAGAAUGCACAGAGAGCUUAUUUUUCUCUUGUUUAAGAGAAAUUCUCAAACUUACAUGAAACUAGAGAACUAGUAUAAUGAGCCUCCACCCAGCUUCAACACCUCUCACCAACCUACAUGGUUGUCACCUGAUGCCUUAAGAGAGACUAGCUGAGGCUCAGGUAGAAAGGACCCAGCUGUCCCAGGGAUGACUUGAAAGAGUAUCAACCAAGAACAUCUGAAUAGACUGAUGUUCAUUCUAUUGACUGAAUAGACUGUAAUUUAAACCCAAGGCUAAAUAAAUAGAAUAUGAUUUACCCAGUCUGUAGCAUGUCUGAAUUCCAGGGUUUUCUCAUAUACAAGUAAACAUUUUGAAGCAACUGGAGUGCCUGCCACAGGGUAGGGCCGUAGAGAGCACUGCGGAAUUCCAAGUAAAGAUGGGGACGGCCACACUACACCUAAUUUCUCUCCUGCCCAGUAGCAUUCUUAGUUGGCACUCUGCCCACUUUACCUUCUUCUGCUUGAAAAAGAACAUUUCAUGUUUUAUUUUUAAAAUCUUUACUAGUAAAAUGUGAAAACGAAACUAUGUUGGAAAGAUCUCAACAUGAAUUAAUUGUCUCAUUAACUGUAAUGCUUUUUAAAAAGGAAUUCAUGCAAACUUCAUUUCUUACCAGUAGUUUGUUUCCUUGUUGUGUGUCUGAACUUCCAGACCUGCUGCUGAAAUAGAGUAAAGGUUCAGAAUUCCAAAGUUUUAUUUCAGACAUGCACACACAUAUACACCCACAUCUAAUCGAUCUUUGUGCUGUAAUAUUGAAGGUACAUUUUCUAAAGUAUUUCCUCCCAAAGUCAGUUUCUGAACAUUUCUAAAGGAAAUAAAGACUAGGGAAUGUAAACUUUACUUGAAGAAGAUAAAAUAGCCUUUACAGGUCCUCUUGAGAAUAAGCAGUCCAAACAGUACAAUCUGUUCUGAAAACCUGCAAAAUAUCUUAUUUCAAC